rnacentral:rRNA from 1 species
UACGGAGGAUGCGAGCGUUAUCCGGAUUUAUUGGGUUUAGAGGGUGCGUAGGCGGACGCUUAAGUCAGCGGUAAAAUUGCGGGGCUCAACCUCGUCGAGCCGUUGAAACUGGGUGCCUUGAGUGGGCGAGAAGUACGCGGAAUGCGUGGUGUAGCGGUGAAAUGCAUAGAUAUCACGCAGAACUCCGAUUGCGAAGGCAGCGUACCGGCGCCCAACUGACGCUGAAGCACGAAGGCGUGGGUAUCGAACAGG